rnacentral:rRNA from 1 species
CACUAUGCUUAGCCCUAAACAAUGAUAAUACCCCACAACUGUUAUCCGCCCGGGUACUACGAGCACCAGCUUAAAACCCAAAGGACUUGGCGGUGCUUUAGAUCCACCUAGAGGAGCCUGUUCUGGAACCGAUAAUCCCCGUUAAACCUCACCCCUCCUUGUUUUCCCCGCCUAUAUACCGCCGUCGUCAGCUUACCCUGUGAAGGGCCAAUAGUAAGCGCAAUUGGCACAGCCCAAAACGCCAGGUCGAGGUGUAGCGUAUGGAGGGGGAAGAAAUGGGCUACAUUCAGUGAACCACUGAACACGGAAGGCGGGCUGAAACGCUCGCCCGAAGGAGGAUUUAGCAGUAAGCAGGAAAUAGAGCGUCCCGCUGAAACCGGCCCUGAAGCGCGUACACACCGCCCGUCACUCUCCCCGAAACAAAACACACAUAUACCUAAGACCCAAUCAUCAGAAAGGGGAGGCAAGUCGUAA